UACGGGGGGGGCAAGCGUUGUUCGGAAUUACUGGGCGUAAAGGGCUCGUAGGCGGCCAACUAAGUCAAACGUGAAAUCCCUCGGCUUAACCGGGGAACUGCGUCUGAUACUGGAUGGCUUGAGUGUGGGAGAGGGAUGCGGAAUUCCAGGUGUAGCGGUGAAAUGCGUAGAUAUCUGGAGGAACACCGGUGGCGAAGGCGGCAUCCUGGACCAACACUGACGCUGAGUGAGCGAAAGCCAGGGGAGCAAACGGG
rnacentral:rRNA from 1 species